rnacentral:lncRNA from 1 species
GCCGCCGCUGGGGGCGCCCCAGGCUCGCUGGGCGGCGCAGAGCGCCUAGGGGCUGAGCGGAUCCAGGGCUAGCGCUGGGACUUCUAGGGGAGGACUGUAAUGAGACGGAGCUGAAGUGCUUUCCGCAGUCAGAUGAGAACUUCUGACAGCGCGGCAGACGCACAGCAAAGUAAACAAGCCGCGCAGCAAGAAUGAAGUGAGAGCCGCCCCGUCGUGUCCGUGGGAUUCUCCAGGCCGGAACACUGGAAUUUUAUUCAGAGUAAUCUCCUGGCCAAAUGCCUAGAAAUCCUGCUACUGCUGCUACUGCUAAGUCGCUUCAGUCAUGUCCAACUCUGUGCGACGCAGCCCACCAGGAAAUCCUGAACCUGAACUAAUUACAGUCGCAAAGGAUGGCUUGCGUAUGAAAUACCUGAAGCGUCUAUAUGAGGCAGGAAGCAGAUGGGCCCCCCAGGGUAAAGCGACCAAAGGGAAGAGAUUGGACCCUGCACAGACCACAUAUUUCUCGUCCCAAAGUCAGGAGACCCUCCCUGGCCGCAUAUGCACAAAAGAGGCUCCUUUGCUGUUCUACCCAGAUGCCUUUUCGGUGGAAUUCAUCUUGGCUAAGAUGCGUGCACACACGGGAAGAUCCUGAGAUAUACAGAAUAUGGACUGUGAGCCCAGGCAAGUCAAAAUGAGCAGCCAGAGGAAAUCUGGAAGAAAUGCCCCACAUAAGUGAUUUAAACGGCCACCAGGGCGCAACUCGGGGCCUCUGUCUCUGAGUCUGCCCAUGUGUCUAUCCAUACGUACUGUACUCUUCCUCCUAAUAAAUACUGUACUUGCUUCA